GUUCCUGCUUUGCUGAAUAUAUACUAACAUUGUACCUAGGCAGACACUGGUGUGGCCCCUGUGCAAGGGUGACAUGGAAACUUGGAAUGCAUUCCAUAUUUUC
ensembl:snRNA U6 U6 spliceosomal RNA